rnacentral:lncRNA from 1 species
CGGCAUAUGGAGGGUCCCAGGCUGGGGGCUGACUUGGAGCUACAGCUGCCGGCCUCCCCCAGAGCCACUGCAGCGCUGGAUCCUCAGUCCAGUCAGCAGGGCCAGGGAUGGAACCUGUGUCCUCAUGGAUGCCGGUCAGAUACGUUUCCGCUGAGUCACCAUGGGAACUCCAGAUUACUGAUUUUAGUGUUUUUUAGAUAGGAGGAGAUGCAGGAAUUGGGCUCAUAAAGUCUUAUGCGGAAAUUAUCUAAUUCUCUGAAGGCCUGAUCUGCCAGUUUCCCAGGGCGCAGAGUGCCUCGCUCCUGAUCUGCACCCUGAACUGCUCUCAGGGGCGUUGGAGGUGGGCCGCCGGAGCAGCUCACACUUCAGUCCUUGUCGAGGUAGCGGAGCUGCCCUGUUGGAGCUGUCGAUCACGUGUGGAACCGUCCGUCUGGUCAGCCGCUUCGGGUCACCUAGUCACCGUUAUUUUUGUCAGAGGCCCAGUCCCACAUUUGGUCAGGCCGGCAAAGUACAAAUAGUGCAGCUCAUGGCAUUCAUAGAAUUAGAGGGACAGAAGUAGCUGCCAAAUGGUCGGAGCAGCAGAAUACAGGUCUCUCGACCGUCAGGCUCAUCGCAGCGGUCUUUCUGCAGGGACUCCCCAAAGGGGAAUGACCUUCCCUAAAAGCAGCUCGCCUGCCGACUGUGCCAUGGCUCUUCUGCCUCCCAGGUGGAGACGCGGACAUCGUGGCGAGUGCCUGCUGGGACCCCCGAGAGGGGGCAUCUGGAUAAAAUCAAUCUGCCACGUUUCAAAGGGCGUGCAGCAGCUCUCAGCCUGGCAGACUCCUGUUCGUGCUCGUAGUUCAGCCUGUUGGGCAGGAGAGACUUUGGGUGAGGACUGCCCUCAAGCACUGACGCUGGAGAAACAACAGCACCAUCAGCCGGGUCGUUCCCUGGGUCCUUGCAGAUACGAACCGUCAGUGAAUGAUAUUAAAUCAGAAUUUGCUGUAGCGCUUUCUUGGAGAUCAGUCCUGGGAGAUAAAAGAUUGUCCGUUAAAACAAGACAGUCUUUUUUUUUUUUUUUCCUUCUUCUUUUUAGGGCCACACUGGCCGCAUUCGGAGGUUUGCAGGCUAGGGGUCAAAUCGGAGCCACAGCAGCUCCCCUGUGCCACAGCCACACCAGAUUUGAGCCGCAUCUGUGAUCUAUGUCUAUCUCACAGCAACACCAGAUCCCCAACCCACUGAGCGAGGCCAGGGAUCGAACCCGCAUCUUCAUAGACACUGGUCAGAUUCGUUUCUGCUGCGCCACAGCGGGAACUCCAGUCCAGUCCUGUUUUUCGUCAUGGAUGUCUGAGUCCUCUGGUCGCAAGGGGACUGGAUGAAGUCUGUCGCAUCUGGGAAGGGCUGCAUCCGGUGAGAGCCAGGUCGUUUCAAGGGCGCUUCAUCCAGUCGAAGACUGCUGUGCUGAGAGUCUAGUACGGCCUCCACAGAGGGGGAAACAGACAGUGAGAGGCGCUUGCUGACUGUGUCUUGUGUGGUCGGACAUGGCAGCGCUGCACAGCCGGUGCAAGGCGCCAUAAGCCCUUUCUCGACAGAAACUCCUUCUGUGGCCUCUUUUUAAAAAUUUUUUUAAAAUUACUCAAAUGAAUUUAUCACAUCUGUAGUUGUAUGAUGAUCAUAACAAUCCGAUUUCAUAGGAUUUCCAUCCCACGGCCCAAGCACAUCCCCCCACCCCCCAAACUGUCUCCUCCGGAGACCAUAAGUUUUUCAAUGUCUGUGAGUCAGCAUCUGUUCUGCAAAGAAGUUCAGUCUGUCCUGUUUUCAGAUUCCACAGGUCAGUGAAAGCAUUGGAUGUUCGUGUCUCACUGUAUGGCUGACUUCACUUAGCAUGGUAAUUUCUAGGUCCAUCUGUGUUGCUAAAAAUGUGGGUAUUUCGUUCCUUUUAAUGGCUGAGUCAUAUUCCAUCGUGUAUAUGGACCACAUCGUCUGGAUCCACUCCUCUGUCGAUGGACAUU